UACCAGAGGGGAAUCACCCAUCCCAGCAAUUGGAAUUUGAGUUCUGGCUAGCCCCACCACUGAGGCCUAAAGCACUCUGGGGUCCUAAAUAAACUUGAAAGGCAGUCUAGGCUACAAGGACUGCAAGUCUUGAUCAAGUUCUGGUGCUGUGCUGGGCUUGGAGCCAGUGGAUUUGGGGUGCACAUGACACAAUGAGACAACUGCCAGGGUGGCCAAAGGAAUGCUUGCAUCACUACUCCCCCAAUCCCAGGCAGUGCAGCUCCCAGCUCUAGGAGGGAAUCCCUCUUUUGGCUUGAGGAGAGGAGAGGGAAGAGUAAAGAGGAUAUUGUCUUAUAACUUGGAUAUCAGCUCAGCCACAGUAGAGUAGGGCACCAGGGAGAGUCCUUAGGCCCCCAUUCCAGGCCCUAGCUCCUGGAUGACAUUGUUAGAUACACCCUGGGCCAGAAGGAAACUCAUUUCCUUGAAGAGAAGGACCUGGUCCUGACAGGAUUAAUCAUUUACUGACUAAACAGUCCUUAUGCCUUGAGUAAACAUCAGUGGUACCCAGGAAAUACUUACCAUGGGCUUCAGGCCUUGGGUGAAACCCAGGGCCUUGUUCACUUCAGAUGUGACCAGUGCAUUCCCAGAUAUGGUGGGCAUGAGAAACUCCUUCUACUUGAGAAAAGGAGAGGGAAGAGUAAAAGAGACUUUGUCUUGCAGCUUAGGUACCAGCUUGGCCACAGGGGCUUAAAGCACAAAGCAGGCUCUCGUGGUCCCCGAUUCCAGGCUUUGACACUUGGCUUCCAUUUCUGGAACUUCCCUGGGCCAGAGGAAGGCCUGCUGCCCUGAAUGUAGAGACCUGAGUCUGGCAGCAUCCACUACAAGCUUACUGAAAUUUCAGCCUUUGGGCUUUGGGCAAGACCCAGGGCUGUGCUGGCUUCAAGUCUGACCCAGUGCAGUCCCAGUGGUGGUGGCCACAGGGGUGAUUUAGUCCUCUCUCUCCCAGCUACAGGCAGCUCAGCAUGGAAUGAGGGGCUCCAUUUUUUGAGUGAAAGUAAGGGAAGGGAGCAAGGGUCUCUGCCUGGUAAUCCAGGGAAUUCUUCUAGGUCUUACUCAAGACCACCAAGGUGGUACCUCUGAGUCUGCAAGAGUAACCACAUUAAUGGGUUUGAUGUGCUCCCUAAUGCACAUAUGGCUGCAGUGACCAAAGAUUUAGAUCAUAACACUCAAUUCCUUUUGAAUACUUGGAAAGUCUUCCCAAGAAGAAUGGGUACAAACAAGCCCAGACUGCAAGGACUACAAUAAGUAUCCAUCUCUUUAAUGCCAAGACAUUGAUGAACAUCCACAAGCAUUGCAAUCAUCCAGGAGAACAUUACCUUGCCAAAGAAACAAAAUAAGGCACCAGUGACCAAUCCUGCAGUGACAGAGAUAUGUGACAUUUCAGAAAGAUAAUUCAGAAUAGCUGCUUUGCUCAACAAAAUGCAGGAUAACACAGAGAAGAAGUUCAGAAUUCUAUCAGAUAAAUUUAACAAAGAGAUUGAAAUAAUUAGAAAUAAUCAAGCAGAAAUUCUGAAGAUGAAAAAUUUAAUUGACAUACUGAAGAUGCAUCAGAGUUUUUAAAUAGCAGAAUUGAUCAAGCAGAAGAAAAAAAUAGUGAGCUUGAAGACAAACUAGUUGAAAAUACACAGAGGAGAAAAAGAAAGAAAGAAGAAAGAAAGAAGUAUGCCUGCAAGAUGUACAGAAUGGACUCAAAAAGGCAAAUUUAAGGGUUAUUGGACUUAAAGAGGUGGUAGAAAGAGAGAUAGAGUUAGAAAAUUAUUCAAAGGGAUAAUAUUAGCGAACUUCCCAAGUCUAGAAAAAGAUGUCAAUAUACAAGUACAAGAGGGUUAUAGAACACCACGCAGAUUUAACCCAAAGAAGACUACCUGAAACUCCCACAAAUCAAGGAUAAAAGAUCCUAAAAGCAGUAAGAGAAAAGAAACAAAUAACAUACAAAGGAGCUCCAUUACAUCUGACAGCAGACUUCUCAGUGGAAAACUUACAGGCCAAGAAAGAGUGGCAUGACAUAUUUAAAGUGCUCAAGGAAAAAAAUUAUCCUAGAAUACUAUAUUCAGUAAUGAUAUCCUUCAAACAUGAAGGAGAAGUAAAGACAUUUCCACACAAACAAAAACUGAGGGAUUUAAUCAACACCAGAACUAUCCUACAAGAAAUGCUAAAGAGAAUUUUUGAGUCUGAAAUAAGAGGACAUUAACAAGCAAUAGGAAAUCAUCUAAAGGUACAAAACUCACUGAUAAUAGUAAGUGCACAUACAAACAGAGAUUAUUAUAAUGUUGUAAGUGUGGUGUGUAAACUACUCAUGCCUUGAGUGGAAAGAAUAGAUGGUUAACAUAUAGAAAUAAUAAAUACAACUUUUCAAGACAGAGAGAGUAUAAUAAGACAUAAAGAGAAACAACAAAAAGUUAAGAAGCAUUGGAGGGUGGACUGAAAGUAUAGAGUUUUUAUUACUUUUCUCCUUGUUAGUUUGCUUUCACAAUACAUGCUAGGUGUCAUCAGUUUAAAACAAUAGGCUAUAAGAUGUUAUUUGCAAGCCUCAUGGUAAUCUCACAUCAAAAAAUCCAACAGAUUCGCAAAAAAUAAAAAGCAAGAAACUAAAUCAUAUCACCAGAAAAAGUCACCUUCACAAAAAGGAAAAUGGGAAGGUAAAAAGGAAAAAAGAGAAGACUACAAGAAACAAAAAAUAACAAAAUGGGAGGAGUAAGUCCUUACUUAUCAAUAAUAAUGUUGAAUAUAAAUGGACUAAACUCUUCAAUCAAAAGACAGUGUGGCUGAAUGGAUUAAAAACAAGACCCAGCGAUCUGUUGCCUACAAGAAACACACUUCACCAAUAAAUACACACAUUGGGCCAGGCGUGGUGGCUCAUGCCUGUAAUCUCAGCACUUUGGGAGGCCGAGGUGGGUGGAUCAUGAAUGAGGUCAGGAGAUUGAGACCAUCCUGGCUAACAUGGUGAAACCCUAUCUCUACUAAAAAUACAAAAAAAAAAUUAGCCAGGCAUGGUGGUGGGUGCCUGUAGUCCCAGCUACUCGGGAGGCUGAGACAGGAGAAUGUCAUGAACCCAGGAGGCAGAGCUUGCAGUGAGCCAAGAUCACACCACCACACUCCAGCCUGGGUGACAGAGCGAGACUCCGUCUCAAAAAAAAAAAAAAAAAAAAAAAAAAGAAAGAAAAGGACACACAUUGACUGAAAAUAAAGAGUGGAAAAAGAUAUUUCAUGCAAAUGGAAAGUAAAAAAGCAAAAGUAGCUAUAUUUGUAUGAGACAAAAUAGAAUUCAAGACAAAAAACUAUGAAAAGAAAUAAGGAAGGUCAUUAUACAAUGAUAAAGGGGUCACUUCAGCAGGAGGUAUAACAAUUAUAAAUAUAUAUGCACCCAACACUGGAGCACCCAGAUAUAUAAAGGAAAUAUUAUUAGAGCUAAAGAGGUAGACCAAAUACAAUAAUAGCUGGAGACUUCAACACCCCACUUUUAGCAUUGGACAGACCUUUUGGACAGAAAAUCCAUAAAGAAACAUUGAAGUUAAUCUACACUAUAAACCAAAUGGACUUAAUAGAUAUUUACAGAAUAUUUCAUCCAAUGGCUGCAGGAUACACAUUGUUUUCCUCAGCACAUGGACCAUUCUCAAGGAAACACCAUGUUGUCCCACAAAAUUAGUCUCAAAAAAUUAAAAAAAUUGAAAACAUAUCAAGUAUCUUCUCUAACCACAAUUGAAUAAAACUAGAAAUGAAUAACAACAAUAAAUUUGGAAAUGAUAAAAACACAGAUAAAUUAAACCAUAUGCUCCUGAAUGAUCAAUGGGUCAAUAAAUAAAUUAUGAAGAAAAUUGAAAAAUUUCUUGAGACAAAUGAAAAUGGAAACACAAGAUAACAAAACCUGUGUAAUAUAGCAAAAGCAGUACUAAGUGGGACGUUUAUAGCUAUAAAUGCCUACAUCAAAACAUUAGAAAAACUUCAAAUUCACAAUCUAAUAAUGCAUCUUAAAGAAGCAGAAAAAAGCAAGAGCAAACAAACUUGUAGUUAAUAGAAUAAAGGAAAUAAUUUAAAAAAUGGAGCAGAAGUAAAUGAAGUUGAAACAAAGAAAACAUUACAAAAGUUCCAUGAAACAAAAUGUUUGUUAUUUGCAAAGACAAACAAAAUACACAAACCUUUAGUCAGAUUAAGAAAAAAAAAAGAGAAGACCCAAGUAAAAUCAGAGAUGAAAAAGGAGACAUUACAACUGAUACUGCAGAAAUUCAAAGUAUCAUUAGUGGCUAUUACAAACAACCAUAUGCCAAUAAAUUUGAAAACCUAGAAGAAGGCCGGGCGCGGUGGCUCACGCCUGUAAUCCCAGCACUUUGGGAGGCCGAGGCGGGUGGAUCAUGAGGUCAGGAGAUCGAGACCAUCCUGGCUAACAAGGUGAAACCCCAUCUCUACUAAAAAUUCAAAAAAUUAGCCGGGCGCGGUGGCGGGCGCCUGUAGUCCCAGCUACUCAGGAGGCUGAGGCAGGAGAAUGGCGUGAACCCGGGAAGCGGAGCUUGCAGUGAGCCGAGAUUGUGCCACUGCAGUCCGCAGUCCGGCCUGGGCAACAGAGCGAGACUCCGUCUCAAAAAAAAAAAAAAAAAAAAAAAAAAAAAGAAAACCUAGAAGAAAAGAAUAAAUUCCUAGACAUAUGUAACGUACCAAGAUUGAACCAUGAAGAAAUCCAUGACUGGAAUAGGCCAAUAACAAGUAAUGAGAUUGAAGCCAUAAUAAAAAGCCCCCCAGCAAUGAAAAGCCCGGGACCCAGUGGCUUCACUGCUGAAUUUUACCCAACAAGGAAGAACUAAUACCAAACUAUUCCAAAAAAUGGAGAAAGAAUUAAUACUUCCAAGCUCAUUCUCUGAGGCUGGUGUUACUCCACUACCAAAACCAGACAGACACAUCACAAAAGAAAACGACAGGCCAAUAUCCUUGAUGAACAUCAAUGCAAAAAUCCUCAGCAAAGUACUAGCAAACAAAAUUCAGCAAUACAUUAGAAAGAUCAUUCAUCAUGACCAAGUGGGAUUUAUCCCAUGGUUAAAGAAUGUUUUAACAUAUGCAAAUCAAUCAGUGUGAUACAGCAUAUCAACAGAAUGAAGGACAAAACCAUAUAAUCAUUUCAGUUGAUGCUGAAAUACCAUUUGAUAAAACUCAACAUCCCUUCAUGAUAAAUUCCCUCAAAAAACAGUAUAGAAGGAAUGUACCUCAACACAAUGAAAGCCAUAUACAACAGACCCAUAGCUAGUAUGAUACUAAAUGGGGAAAAACUGAAAAGCCUUUCCUCUAAGAUCUGGAACAUGACAAGGGUGCCCACUGUCACCACUGUUAUUCAACAUAAUACUAGAAUUGCUAGCUAGAGUGAUCAAACAAGAGAAAGAAAUAAAGUGUAUCCAUACUGGGAAGGAAGAAUUCAAAUUAUCUUUGUUUGCAGAUGAUAUAAUUUUAUAUUUGGAAAAACCUGAAGACUUCAUCCAAUAAAUGAUUAGAACUGAUAAACAAAUUCAGUUAAGUUGCAGGAUACAAAAUCAACAUACAAAAAUCAGUAGCAUUUCUAUAUGCCAACAAAUAAUCUAAAAAAAAAUUUAAAAAGUAGUACCAAUGUCCUGGAGAGUUUCAUCAAAGUUGUCUUUAGUAGUUUCAUAGUUUGGGAUCUCAGGUUGAUGUAUUUAAUCCACUUUUAUUGGAUUUUUGUUUAUGGCAAGAGAUAGCGAUCUAGUUUCAUUCUUCUGCAUAUGGAUAUCCAGUUUUCCCAGCACCAUUUAUUGAAGAGACUGUUCUUUCCCCAAUGUAUGUCCUUGGGACCUUUGUCAAAAAUGAAUUCAUGGUAGAUGUAUGGAUUUAUUUCUGGGUUCUCUAUUCUGUUCCAUUGGUCUAUCUAUCUGUUUUUAUGCCAAGAUAAUGCUGUUUUGGUUACUAUAGCUCUGUAGUAUAAUUUGAAGUCAGGUAAUAUGAUUCCUCCGUUUUUGUUAUUUUGGCUAUCCUGAGUCUUUUGUGGUUCCGUAUACAUUUUGAUUGUUUUUUUCUAUUUCUAUAAAGAAUGUCCUUGGUAUGAGAUAGAGAUUACAGUGAAUCUGUAGAUUGCUUUGGAUAGUAUGGACAUUUUAGCAACAUUGAUUCUUCCAAUCCAUGAAUGUGGAAUAUCUUUCCAUUUUUUGUGAUUUAUUGUAUGUUUAAAAAUAACUAAGAGUGUAAUUGGAAUGUUUACAAAACAAGGAAAGAAUAAAUGCUUGAGGUGAUGGAUACCCCAUUUUCCCUGAUGUGAUUAUUACUCAUGUCUGCUGGUAUCAAAAUAUCUCAUGUAUCCCAUAAAUAUAUACAUCUACUAUAUGCCCAU
rnacentral:lncRNA from 1 species